UCGAAAGGGGUGCUAGUUUACUGGCUGAGAUUAUACCCAUUGACCUGAUGCAGGUAAUGCUGUCGUAGGGAUUGACAC
rnacentral:ncRNA from 1 species